rnacentral:rRNA from 1 species
CGCCUGUUGAUCAAAAACAUCGCCUCCUGAAAACUACCAUAUAAGAGGUACUGCCUGGCCCUGUGACUCUAAAGUUUAACGGCCGCGGUAUUUUGACCGUGCAAAGGUAGCGCAAUCACUUGCCUUUUAAAUGAAGGCCCGUAUGAAUGGCAUAACGAGGGCUUAACUGUCUCUUUCCCCCUGUCAAUGAAAUUGAUCCCCCCGUGCAGAAGCGAGGAUAAAAACAUAAGACGAGAAGACCCUGUGGAGCUUUAGACCAUAAGCAGGCCAUGUUAAGGACUAUAAACACAGACCUCAAACAAAUUGGAUGCUGCUCUAAUGUCUUUGGUUGGGGCGACCGCGGGGAAAUAAAUAACCCCCAUGUGGAUUAAGAAUAUAUUCUUAAAACCAAGAGCCACCGCUCUAAGAAUCAGAAUAUCUGACCUUGUGAUCCGGACAUCCGAUCAACGAACCUAGUUACCCCAGGGAUAACAGCGCAAUCCCCUUCUAGAGCCCAUAUCGACAAGAGGGUUUACGACCUCGAUGUUGGAUCAGGACAUCCUAAUGGUGCAGCCGCUAUUAAGGGUUGGUUGUUCAACAAUUAAAGUCCUACUUGAUCUGAGUUCAGACCGG